rnacentral:rRNA from 2 species
CGAAAGAUUUAUCGGCUUAAGAUGAGCCCGCGCUGGAUUAGCUAGUUGGUGGGGUAAAGGCCUACCAAGGCGACGAUCCAUAGCUGGUCUGAGAGGAUGAUCAGCCACACUGGGACUGAGACACGGCCCAGACUCCUACGGGAGGCAGCAGUGGGGAAUAUUGGACAAUGGGCGGAAGCCUGAUCCAGCCAUGCCGCGUGAGUGAAGAAGGCCUUAGGGUUGUAAAGCUCUUUCACCGGUGAAGAUAAUGACGGUAACCGGAGAAGAAGCCCCGGCUAACUUCGUGCCAGCAGCCGCGGUAAUACGAAGGGGGCUAGCGUUGUUCGGAUUUACUGGGCGUAAAGCGCGCGUAGGCGGAUAGAUAAGUCAGAGGUGNAAUCCCGGGGCUCAACCCCGGAAUUGCCUUUGAUACUGUUUAUCUUGAGUGCAGAAGAGGUAAGUGGAAUUCCGAGUGUAGAGGUGAAAUUCGUANNUAUUCGGAGGAA